AAUAGAGGGUGCACAGGCAUGGGCUCAGGUGAGGCAGAGAGCUGAGCUCACCUGAGCUCCCAUGCCUGUGCACCCUCUAUU
rfam:Papio anubis isolate 1X1155 chromosome 8, whole genome shotgun sequence.